rnacentral:lncRNA from 1 species
CCAGUGUGCCUAGGUCAUCAAUACACAACGUUAAAGUAAAAGUAACAUUACUCGCUAUUACUAUUGCAACAGUCAAAAUGUCUACAUCAGACAACUGGGCGUUAAAAUAUUUUAGAAAGUAUGAAAAUUUUCAAACAAAAUGUAUACUCUGUCCACAUACUUUUACGGACUGCGAUAUGAAAUUUGCACAUCAUCAUUUCAAUCAACAUCAUGGAAAUACAAGUAGAGGGAACGUUUCUUGGACACAGCACUAUUUUAAAAGAACUAGCGAUUUAUGCUUUAAAUGCAAUUAUUGUACGCAAAUUUAUUGUUCGGCAACAUCGAUGACAAUAUUACGUGAUCAUUUGCAAUAUAAACAUGAUGUAGUUCCACCACAAACAGAAUCGUAUUAUAUGGGCUGUAUAGAGGAGCAUAUUAAACAGCAUGAUGAUUAUAGCGUGCGGUGUCAGAAAUGUGGUCAGAUUUUACAGUUUAACUUUCCCAGUACACUAAAAUACCACAUAUUCACAGAUCAUCGCGCCGUAUGGUAUGAAGAAGAGACUGCAUAUAAACAAAGAGGAAUCAGUAUGUCUGGGCCAUCGACAAGUGCAUGAUAACUUUAAAGGCAAAAACAAUGAACAAAUUUUGAUGACGUUUCUACAUUCAAAAAGAUACUAUGGUUCUACGGUUCUACAUACGACCAGCGAAAGCAACAAUCUCGACUUUGACAAAUUAAAUAAUUUGAAAUAUCUGA